rnacentral:rRNA from 1 species
UCUUGAACACGGGAAAAGAAACUAACAAGGAUUCCCCUAGUAACGGCGAGUGAAGCGGGAAGAGCUCAAAUUUGUAAUCUGGCGGCCUUUGGCCGUCCGAGUUGUAGUCUCGAGAAGCGUCUUCUGCGUCGGACCGUGUACAAGUCCCUUGGAACAGGGCGUCGUAGAGGGUGAGAAUCCCGUCUUUGACACGGACUGCCGGUGCUUUGUGAUGCGCUCUCAAAGAGUCGAGUUGUUUGGGAAUGCAGCUCAAAACGGGUGGUAAAUUCCAUCUAAAGCUAAAUAUUGGCGAAAGACCGAUAGCGAACAAGUACCGUGAGGGAAAGAUGAAAAGCACUUUGGAAAGAGAGUUAAACAGUACGUGAAAUUGCUGAAAGGGAAACGCUUGAAGUCAGUCGCGUCUCCUGGGACUCAGCCGUGCCUCUGGGCGCGGUGUACUUCCUGGGGUUUGACGGGCCAGCAUCGAUUUCGACCGUCGGAAAAAGGCCUCGGGAACGUGGCACCUUCGGGUGUGUUAUAGCCCUGGGUCGCAUGCGACGGUCGGGAUCGAGGACCGCAGCACGCCUUUUUGGCCGGGGUUCGCCCACGUAACGUGCUUAGGAUGCUUGGCGUAAUGGYUUUAACCGACCCUCUU